GAUCAGUAUUGUGUGCCAAUUUGUACGCGAUAAGGAAGGUAUAGGAUCAGUAUUUUGUGUGCCAAUUUGUACGCGAUAAGGAAGGUAUAGGAUCAGUAUUGUGUGCGCCAAUUUGUACGCGAUAAGGAAGGUAUAGGAUCAGUAUUGUGUGCGCCAAUUUGUACGCGAUAAGGAAGGUAUAGGAUCAGUAUUGUGUGCGCCAAUUUGUACGCGAUAAGGAAGGUAUAGGAUCAGUAUUUUGUGCGCCAAUUUGUACGCGAUAAGGAAGGUAUAGGAUCAGUAUUUUGUGCGCCAAUUUGUACGCGAUAAGGAAGGUAUAGGAUCAGUAUUUUGUGCGCCAAUUUGUACGCGAUAAGGAAGGUAUAGGAUCAGUAUUUUGUGCGCCAAUUUGUACGCGAUAAGGAAGGUAUAGGAUCAGUAUUGUGUGCGCCAAUUUGUACGCGAUAGAAAGAAAUCGAAAACGAGGGCGAUGUCUACCCCGAACGAAACUCUCUAGCAGAACACAAGGAGGCAAUUUACCUGUCAAUAUACCUGCAGCGCUAAGUGUCAGGUGAAGCCAACAGGUGUGAGAUGCUCGAUAUGAGAUAGCCGCCGCCAAGCAGUUCUAUGUACGGCAGGAGGAAUAGAGGUGACACUCCUGAGGCUGCUGGGAAACUAAACCGACGAGACCUCUGCAAGCACGUGAGACAGAGCUAAGAGGAACGGUGAAACAAGUGGAAGGGAAGAAAGAUAAGGGACGAAGAACAAUGAAACAAAUUAAGGCGAGGAAUAGAGGUGACACUCCUAAGGCUGCAGGAAAACUUAACCGAAGAAAUCUCCACAAGCACGUGAGACAGCUAAGAGGAACGGUGAAACAAGUGGAAGGGAGGCUUCUGUAAGAGGAAAGAUAAAGGACGAAGAACAAUGAAACAAAUUAAGGCGAGGUUUCUACAAGAGGACUGAAACCUAGACCCGAGGCCUCAGGAGAGAUAAGAUACGAGGAACAGUGAAAGACAUGCAAGUGAGGUUUCUAUAAGAGAAAGAAAACCUAA